UCGCGGCUCCGGGGCGGCGGCUGCUCGCUCCCCAGCGCCGAGCGGUUCCGUCGGACGCGACGGGGCGGGCGCCGGGAGCCUGGCACCGAACCUCCGCCCGGCCGCUCCCGUGAGAGGAAAAAAACAUUGGAUCAGCAUUCAGAAGAUUUCCAGUUCACACUCUUGUCCCUCCACGGAGCUGGCUGUGCGAUCUCAGAGCCCACUUCCUUGGCCACAGGCCGCCCAGUGACCUCUGGGAAGAUGAGUGGCUGUGGGAGGAAGGCCCUGACCCUGCUGAGCAGUGUCUUUGCUGUCUGUGGCCUGGGUCUCCUGGGCAUUGCGGUCAGCACCGACUACUGGCUCUACCUGGAGGAAGGCGUGGUCCUGCCCCAGAACCAGAGCAUGGAGCUCAAGAUGUCCCUACACUCGGGCCUGUGGCGUGUCUGCUUCCUCGCAGGUGAGGAGCGGGGACGCUGCUUCACCAUAGAAUAUGUGAUGCCCAUGAACACCCAGCUGACAUCUGAGUCUACCGUCAACGUUCUAAAAAUGAUCCGCUCAGCCACACCGUUCCCUCUGGUCAGCCUCUUCUUCAUGUUCAUUGGGUUUAUCCUGAGCAACAUCGGACACAUCCGUCCCCAUAGGACAAUACUUGCCUUUGUCUCAGGCAUCUUUUUUAUUCUCUCAGGCCUCUCUCUGGUGGUGGGCCUGGUGCUCUACAUCUCCAGCAUCAAUGAUGAGAUGCUCAAUAGGACCAAGGACGCAGAGACCUAUUUCAACUACAAGUACGGGUGGUCAUUUGCCUUUGCUGCCAUCUCCUUCCUUUUGACAGAGAGUGCUGGGGUGAUGUCUGUGUACCUGUUCAUGAAGAGGUACACCGCCGAGGACAUGUACCGGCCCCACCCUGGCUUCUACCGGCCUCGCCUGAGCAACUGCUCCGAUUACUCAGGCCAGUUCCUGCAUCCAGACGCCUGGGUCCGGGGCCGCAGCCCCUCCGACAUCUCCAGUGACGCCUCCCUGCAGAUGAACAGCAACUACCCAGCCUUGCUCAAGUGCCCCGACUACGACCAGAUGUCAUCUUCCCCCUGCUGAGCCUCACCGCCUUCCUCCCUGGACUGUGGACAGCCAGAUAGCCCUUCCCGUGCUCCCCUGAUGGCCUGUGAGCCCCAGGCCCUUGGUUGACAGGCCCAGGAUGCCCCCCCCGCUUCGCUGUUGUCACUUGACCCAUGUCAUCUCCACUGUCUCCACGCUUCCCCCAGAGUAGCUCUAAGGGGCCCAGGGUGGGUGUCAGGAAUCUGGAGCCAGCGGGCCAGCUGAUUGGCUGAGAGCAUGGGUGUAGCCCCGCCUCUUAUGUGCCAAUCACUCCAACAGCUCUCCUCUUUCCUGGGAGAGGUGGCUGUUCCAGCUGUGAGUUUGUCCCUACACACCCAACUUCGUGGCCCCAGGCCAAGGCCAGGGCUGAGACCGACCCAGCCGGACUUGUGCGCCUACCAACUAACUAGCCUGGCCCUCGUGUUCACAUGAGCCAUCAGGCCCAAAGUGCUGGAGACCAGAAGUCAACAUCAAGGUGUCAGCAGAUUUGCUUUCUUCCUCGGCCUCUCCUUGGCUUGCAGAUGGCCAGCUGUCUUCUUGAUGUGUCUUCAUAGGGUCUCUUCUGUGCUCGUGGACACGCCCCCCGUGUCCACAUUCCCUCUCACAAGGACAGCAGUCAGAUCGGAAUAGAGCCCAUCCUAAGAGCCUCAUUUGACCUUCAUCACCUGUCCAAAGCCCUGUCUCCACAUGUAACCUCCAAAUACAGUCACAUCCUGAGGUUCUGGAGGUGAGGGCCUCAACAUAUGACCUGUGGGGUGGGGGUGGGGGUGCACACAAUUCAGCAGGUACAGGCGGGUUGCUUCGUAGCUGGAUUAUUCCACUUGCUUCAUAGCAUAGUUGAAGGGAAGAUUCGAGAAGCCGAUUGUGAUCCCAGUUCGGCCACUCUCUGAGCAUGGAUCCUUGGGCAACCCCGUCUGCUUUGAGGGGCUUGGCCCAAAUGAUUUCCCUCCUGCCCACCUGCCCCCAACUCUAGUGAUUCAGCCUUGUGUAGAAAGCUCUAGAUUGCCGUCCUAUGUGACUUUUCAAUCCUUGCCUCAAAACCAAUAGCAACCGUAAACCCAACUCAACCUCCCAGUCCAUUGGCACCUUUGAAACGACUGCCGUACUCUGGUUGCUGUUUACAGAAUAAAAUGGAAACCACAGUCUCCCACUGCAGAGGAGUGGGUUAGCGCGGUGCAGACCAGUAGGUGGCAUUUCCAAACUGGACGGCCGUUCAGAUGUGCUCUUCUCCUGUUUUUGUCAAUGUAAUUACCCUCUUCAAAUGCACUUUUCUGCCCC